GAAAGGUUGGAAACCAAUAGGGAUAAACAAACAAACAACAAAAUAAACCACCCUGCAGAUUUUCAACUUUCAGUGUCAUUUCAAAUUUCAGGAAAUAAAUGUGGAAAACAGACUGAUGACAGCUUUGUGACAUCCACCCCUCUGCCUCCGAGUGCCUUUUAUCCAACAGGAAAACAAAGCAUGCAGUUAAGGAAGACUGGAAAAAUUAAGCCUGAAUCUCUCAUUGACCUGAAACCCACCCUCCAGGGGCAACCAGCAGCUUCCACACCAGCCUUUCACUAUUCAUUGUCCUUCCUAAUGAGAACAACAUUAGACUACUACCUCAACACGACUGAAAUGAUUUCAUGGUAGAAAAUGAUCGUCUCUAUACUUCAGAAGCACUGGUGGUGUUUGCUAUUCAAAUUAGAAUCCUUCCAUACUAACUGUUUUAUUA
rnacentral:lncRNA from 1 species